UACAGAGGUCCCAAGCGUUGUUCGGAUUCACUGGGCGUAAAGAGCUCGUAGGCGGUUUGGUAAGUUGGAUGUGAAAUCUCCAGGCUCAACUUGGAGGGGUCAUUCGAUACUGCCAUGACUAGAGUUCGGUAGGGGAGUGUGGAAUUCCUGGUGGAGCGGUGAAAUGCGCAGAUAUCAGGAGGAACACCGGUGGCGAAGGCGGUUCUCUGGGCAUGUCCUGACGCUGAGGAGCGAAAGUGUGGGGAGCGAACAGG
rnacentral:rRNA from 1 species